UAGAAUUCCAGGUGUAGCGGUGAAAUGCGUAGAGAUCUGGAGGAAUACCGAUGGCGAAGGCAGCCAUCUGGCCUAACACUGACGCUGAGGUGCGAAAGCAUGGGGAGCAAACAGGAUUAGAUACCCUGGUAGUCCAUGCCGUAAACGAUGUCUACUAGCCGUUGGGGCCUUUGAGGCUUUAGUGGCGCAGCUAACGCGAUAAGUAGACCGCCUGGGGAGUACGGUCGCAAGACUAAAACUCAAAUGAAUUGACGGGGGCCCGCACAAGCGGUGGAGCAUGUGGUUUAAUUCGAUGCAACGCGAAGAACCUUACCUGGCCUUGACAUAGUAAGAACUUUCCAGAGAUGGAUUGGUGCCUUCGGGAACUUACAUACAGGUGCUGCANNNNNNUNGUCAGCUCNNNUCGUGAGAUGUUGGGUUAAGUCCCGCAACGANCGCAACCCUUUUCCUUAUUUNCCAGCGAGUAAUGUCGGGAACUUUAAGGAUACUNCCAGUGACAAACUNGAGGAAGGCGGGGACGACGUCAAGUCAUCAUGNNCCUUACGNCCAGGGNUNCNCACNUGCUACAAUGGUCGGUACAAAGGGUUGNUNCCUAGCGAUAGGAUGCUAAUCUCAAAAANNCGAUNGUAGUCCGGAUUGGAGUNUGCAACUCGNCUCCANGAAGUCGGAAUCGNUNGUAAUCNCGGAUCAGAANNNCGCGGUGAAUACGUUCCC
rnacentral:rRNA from 1 species